AGGCAACCUGGCGGCGGCCUAAUCAUGCAAGUAGAACGCUGACCUCUGGUGCUUGCACUAGAGUGAUGAGUUGCGAACGGGUGAGUAACGCGUAGGUAACCUACCUUUAAGCGGGGGAUAACUAUUGGAAACGAUAGCUAAUACCGCAUAACAACUUUUAACACAUGUUAGGAGUUUGAAAGGGGCAACUGCCUCACUUAGAGAUGGACCUGCGUUGUAUUAGCUAGUUGGUAGGGUAAAGGCCUACCAAGGCGACGAUACAUAGCCGACCUGAGAGGGUGAUCGGCCACACUGGGACUGAGACACGGCCCAGAUUCCUACGGGAGGCAGCAGUAGGGAAUCUUCGGCAAUGGGGGCAACCCUGACCGAGCAACGCCGCGUGAGUGAAGAAGGUUUUAGGAUCGUAAAGCUCUGUUGUAAGAGAAGAAUGUUGUGUAGAGUGGAAAGUUACACAAGUGACGGUAUCUUACCAGAAAGGGACGGCUAACUACGUGCCAGCAGCCGCGGUAAU
rnacentral:rRNA from 1 species